GACGAACGCUGGCGGCGUGCCUAAUACAUGCAAGUCGAACGCAGUGGGGACGGGUGAGUAACACGUGGGUAACCUCCCAUCAGAGGGGAUAACACUUGGAAACAGGUGCUAAACCGAUACUGAUGGAUGGACCCGCGGUGCAUUAGCUAGUUGGGGAGGUAACGGCUCCCCAAGGCCACGUUGCAUAGCCGAACUGAGUGGGCGAGUGGUCACACUGGGACUGAGACACGGCCCAGACUCCGACGGGAUGCAGCAGUAGUGAAGCUUGGGCAAUGGACGAAAGUCUGACCGAGCAACGCCUCGGGAGUGAAGAAGGUUUUCGGAUCGUAAAACUCUGUUGUUAGAGAAGCGGUAUCUAACCAGAAAGCCACGGCUAACUACGUGCCAGCCGCCGCGGUAAUUC
rnacentral:rRNA from 1 species